rnacentral:rRNA from 1 species
UACGGAGGGGGCUAGCGUUGUUCGGAAUUACUGGGCGUAAAGCGCACGUAGGCGGCUUUGCAAGUUAGAGGUGAAAGCCCGGGGCUCAACCCCGGAAUUGCCUUUAAAACUGCAUCGCUAGAAUUGUGGAGAGGUAAGUGGAAUUCCGAGUGUAGAGGUGAAAUUCGUAGAUAUUCGGAAGAACACCAGUGGCGAAGGCGACUUACUGGACGAUUGUUGACGCUGAGGUGCGAAAGCGUGGGGAGCAAACAGG